rnacentral:rRNA from 1 species
UACUGUACUUAUACCAUUCUGAGCACACCUGAUCUCUUAUGAUUUCAGAGGCUAAGCAGGUUUGGGUCUAGUUCGUACUGAAGUACUAAACCACCAGGGAAUAUUGGAUGCUGUAUUAU